CGCGUAGGCGGUCCGACAAGUCAGGGGUGAAAUCCUGCAGCUUAACUGCAGAAGUGCCUUUGAUACUGUCGGUCUUGAGGGAGAUAGGGGUGUGCGGAACUCACAGUGGAGCGGUGAAAUGCGUUGAUAUUGUGAGGAACGCCGGAGGCGAAAGCGGCGCACUGGAUCUCUUCUGACGUUGAGGCGCAAAGCCAGGGAGCAAACG
rnacentral:rRNA from 1 species